rnacentral:rRNA from 1 species
AUGCAAGUCGAGGGGUAUAGUUCUUCGGAGCUAGAGACCGGCGCACGGGUGCGUAACGCGUAUGCAAUCUACCUUUUACAGAGGGAUAGCCCAUAGAAAUUUGGAUUAAUACCUCAUAGUAUGUGAGAAUCGCAUGGUUUUCACAUUAAAGUCACAACGGUAAAAGAUGAGCAUGCGUCCCAUUAGCUAGAUGGUAAGGUAACGGCUUACCAUGGCAACGAUGGGUAGGGGUCCUGAGAGGGAGAUCCCCCACACUGGUACUGAGACACGGACCAGACUCCUACGGGAGGCAGCAGUGAGGAAUAUUGGACAAUGGGCGCAAGCCUGAUCCAGCCAUGCCGCGUGCAGGAUGACGGUCCUAUGGAUUGUAAACUGCUUUUGUACAGGAAGAAACACUCCCUCGUGAGGGAGCUUGACGGUACUGUAAGAAUAAGGAUCGGCUAACUCCGUGCCAGCAGCCGCGGUAAUACGGAGGAUCCAAGCGUUAUCCGGAAUCAUUGGGUUUAAAGGGUCCGUAGGCGGUUUAAUAAGUCAGUGGUGAAAGCCCAUCGCUCAACGGUGGAACGGCCAUUGAUACUGUUAAACUUGAAUUAUUAGGAAGUAACUAGAAUAUGUAGUGUAGCGGUGAAAUGCUUAGAGAUUACAUGGAAUACCAAUUGCGAAGGCAGGUUACUACUAAUGGAUUGACGCUGAUGGACGAAAGCGUGGGUAGCGAACAGGAUUAGAUACCCUGGUAGUCCACGCCGUANACGAUGGAUACUAGCUGUUGGGAGCAAUCUCAGUGGCUAAGCGAAAGUGAUAAGUAUCCCACCUGGGGAGUACGUUCGCAAGAAUGAAACUCAAAGGAAUUGACGGGGGCCCGCACAAGCGGUGGAGCAUGUGGUUUAAUUCGAUGAUACGCGAGGAACCUUACCAGGCUUAAAUGUAGUUUGACCGAUUU